rnacentral:rRNA from 1 species
UCGCGGCGGUGCGCGCAGAAGGGUCUGGGCUCGAGCCUGCCUGGAGCCGCCGCCGGUGCAGAUCUUGGUGGUAGUAGCAAAUACUCCAGCGAGGCCCUGGAGGACUGAUGUGGAGAAGGGUUUCGUGUGAACAGCCGUUGCACACGAGUCAGUCGAUCCUAAGCCCUAGGAGAAAUCCGAUGCAAACGGCGAUGGGAAAAAUGAACUGACUGACUUGUUUAACAGAACAGUAAAGAGACCCAUUGAUCGGGCGAAAGGGAAUCCGGUUCCUAUUCCGGAACCCGGCAGCGGAACCGUUGUUUGUCGGGCCCUCGCAAGGGGUUCGUCAGGGCAACCUAAAAGGGCCCGGAGACGCCGUCGGGGGCCCCGGAAAGAGUUUUCUUUUCUGCAUGAGCGUUCGAGUUCCCUGGAAUCCUCUCGCAGGGAGAUAGGGUUUGGAACGCGAAGAGCACCGCAGUUGCGGCGGUGCACGGGAAUUCCCGACGGACCUUGAAAAUCCGGGAGAGGGCCACGUGGAGGUGUCGCGCCGGCUCGUACCCAUAUCCGCAGCAGGUCUCCAAGGUGAAUAGCCUCUAGUC